rnacentral:rRNA from 1 species
CCCUUAGAUGUUCUGGGCCGCACGCGCGCUACACUGAUGCAUUCAACGAGCCUAUCCUUGACCGACAGGUCCGGGUAAUCUUUGAAUCUGCAUCGUGACGGGGAUAGAUUAUUGCAAUUAUUAAUCUUCAACGAGGAAUGCCUAGUAGGCGCAAGUCAUCAGCUUGCGUCGAUUACGUCCCUGCCCUUUGUACACACCGCCCGUCGCUGCAACUGAUUGGGUGACCUGGUGAACAUCUUGGACCGGUCCACUCAAUUUCGAGAGGACUGGAAAAGGCCGUAAAUCAGGUACAUCUAGAAAUUGCAAAAGUCGUAACA